AGUGAACGCUGGCGGUAGGCCUAACACAUGCAAGUCGAACGGCAGCACAGUAAGAGCUUGCUCUUACGGGUGGCGAGUGGCGGACGGGUGAGGAAUACAUCGGAAUCUACUUUUUCGUGGGGGAUAACGUAGGGAAACUUACGCUAAUACCGCAUACGACCUACGGGUGAAAGCAGGGGAUCUUCGGACCUUGCGCGAUUGAAUGAGCCGAUGUCGGAUUAGCUAGUUGGCGGGGUAAAGGCCCACCAAGGCGACGAUCCGUAGCUGGUCUGAGAGGAUGAUCAGCCACACUGGAACUGAGACACGGUCCAGACUCCUACGGGAGGCAGCAGUGGGGAAUAUUGGACAAUGGGCGCAAGCCUGAUCCAGCCAUACCGCGUGGGUGAAGAAGGCCUUCGGGUUGUAAAGCCCUUCUGUUGGGAAAGAAAGGCAGCAGGUUAAUACCCCGCUGUUCUGACGGUACCCAAAGAAUAAGCACCGGCUAACUUCGUG
rnacentral:rRNA from 1 species